GCAGGAUUCAGGAGUGAAGCUGCUGUCUGCUGGACUGGAGAGUCCACACUGUCACCUGGAGACUCUCAGGUCAGGACUCAUCAAUGUGUGCAGCAGCUCCAUAAAUCAGAGUGAAGCUGCAGCUUUGCUCCCUGUCAUGUUGUGCUGUCAGGCUGUCUGAUCACACAUGAAGGCUGUGCUUCUCUGGCCUCAGCUCUGACCUCCAACCCCUCCCAUCUGAGAGAGCUGGACCUGAGCUACAACCAUCCAGGAGACUCAGUCAAGCUGCUGUCUGCUGGACUGGAGGAUCCACGCUGGACUCUGGACUUUCUCAGGGUGGAUCCUGGUGGAGUCCGAUGGCUGAGACCAGGUCUGAGGAAGUGUAAGUCUGUUUGUACUUUGAUCCAUCUGUUUCCAUAGAAACCACCCUCUGUGACAUCACUCAUUCAAGUCCUACUGACAGUGAAGCAGAGUUCAACAUGAAGGCGCGUCUGAUCCACGUGUGUCACGUGCACGACUUCUCCAAAUGGACACGUUG